UAUUCUGCCCUACAGGGAAGGAUGAGAAGCUUCGACUAAGGUUCGACUCGAGCGAAGCGAGAGAACGUUGCCGCAGGCAACGGCCCGAAGGGCGAGGCGCUUUAGCGCCGAGUAAUCCUUCCCCCACCACUC
rnacentral:sRNA from 1 species